UACGUAGGUGGCAAGCGUUGUCCGGAAUUAUUGGGCGUAAAGCGCGCGCAGGCGGAUUGGUCAGUCUGUCUUAAAAGUUCGGGGCUUAACCCCGUGAUGGGAUGGAAACUGCCAAUCUAGAGUAUCGGAGAGGAAAGUGGAAUUCCUAGUGUAGCGGUGAAAUGCGUAGAUAUUAGGAAGAACACCAGUGGCGAAGGCGACUUUCUGGACGAAAACUGACGCUGAGGCGCGAAAGCCAGGGGAGCGAACGGGAUUAGAUACCCCGGUAGUCCUGGCCGUAAACGAUGGGUACUAGGUGUAGGAGGUAUCGACCCCUUCUGUGCCGGAGUUAACGCAAUAAGUACCCCGCCUGGGGAGUACGACCGCAAGGUUG
rnacentral:rRNA from 1 species